GAGUUUGAUCCUGGCUCAGGACGAACGCUGGCGGCGUGCCUAAUACAUGCAAGUCGAGCGAGCCGAACUAAUUGAUUACCUUCGGGUAUGAAGUUAGGGAAGCGAGCGGCGGAUGGGUGAGUAACACGUGGGUAACCUACCCUAUAGUCUGGGAUACCACUUGGAAACAGGUGCUAAUACCGGAUAAAAGGAGAGAUCACAUGAUUUCUUUUUGAAAGGCGGCGUAAGCUGUCGCUAAAGGAUGGACCCGCGGUGCAUUAGCUAGUUGGUAAGGUAACGGCUUACCAAGGCAACGAUGCAUAGCCGAGUUGAGAGACUGAUCGGCCACAUUGGGACUGAGACACGGCCCAAACUCCUACGGGAGGCAGCAGUAGGGAAUCUUCCACAAUGGACGCAAGUCUGAUGGAGCAACGCCGCGUGAGUGAAGAAGGUUUUCGGAUCGUAAAGCUCUGUUGUUGGUGAAGAAAGAUAGUGAGAGUAACUGCUCAUUAUUUGCCGGUAAUCAACCAGAAAGUCACGGCUAACUACGUGCCAGCAGCCGCGGUAAUACGUAGGUGGCAAGCGUUGUCCGGAUUUAUUGGGCGUAAAGCGAGCGCAGGCGGAAAGAUAAGUCAGAUGUGAAAGCCCUCGGCUUAACCGAGGAAUAGCAUCGGA
rnacentral:rRNA from 1 species